rnacentral:lncRNA from 1 species
AUAGCUUUAUUUGCCCAUUUAUUGUGUUGUUAUUUUGUUGUUGUCAUUACUGGAAAAGGCAAGAGUAGAGCUAUCAGAAUGUCUUCCUUGAACAUGCUGUCAACAAACCCCAGGAUUUUUAUAAACCCUAUGUGAAAAACACGCUAAGAAUCUCUUUUCUUCUUAGCAUAUUUUUCACUUAGGGUUUACAAAAAUAUGUUUUGAAGAAAGCUUGAAAAGAUCAGUGGAAAAAAAUUCAGCACCAAAUUUUCUCUGAAAAUCAACUUGUCAAAAAAGACGUGAUUAACAUCCAUCCUGUAACCAGCACAUGAAUGAUCUUCCCUCUUUACGAGUGUGCUUCAGCAAAACUUUAAUCUCGACCCCUCCCUCUUUCCACUUUUAAUAGUGGAUGGAUGAAAAGGCAAGAGGAAAAACAAAGCAGCCGAAACACACCCAGACGCACACUUCUGCCAAGCAUAGCCACCACGAAUCUGUAUCUGUAUCAAGAUGAUCUGAAGAACAGCUUCUACCUUUAGGAAUGUCUAGUGUUCCAAAAUGACUAGCAUCUUCCAUUUUGCCAUUAUCUUCAUGUUAAUACUUCAGAUCAGAAUACAAUUAUCUGAAGA